GGUUAAGUGAAUAAGGGCGCACGGUGGAUGCCUUGGCACUAGGAGCCGAUGAAGGACGGGACUAACACCGAUAUGCUUUGGGGAGCUGUAAGUAAGCUAUGA
rnacentral:rRNA from 1 species